GGACAGGAUCGACGUAGCACGUGCUAUACCCUACCUAUGAGACUGCGAUAACUUCCUGAAACCGAUGCUAAUACCGGAUAACAUUUGGAAGCGGAUGGUUCAAAAGUGAAAGACGGUCUUGCUGUCACUUAUAGAUGGAUCCGCGCUGCAUUAGCUAGUUGCUAGGUAACGGCUUACCAAGGCAACGACGGAUAGCCGACCUGAGAGGUGAUCGGCCACACUGGAACUGAGACACGGUCCAGACUCCUACGGGAGGCAGCAGUAGGGAAUCUUCCGCAAUGGGCGAAAGCCUGACGGAGCAACGCCGCGUGAGUGAUGAAGGUCUUCGGAUCGUAAAACUCUGUUAUUAGGGAAGAACAUAUCUGUAAGUAACUGUGCACAUCUUGACGGCCCUAAUCAGAAAGCCACGGCUAACUACGUGCCAGCAGCCGCGUAAUACGUAGGUGCAAGCGUUAUCCGGAAUUAUUGGGCGUAAAGCGCGCGUAGGCUUUUUUUAAAUCUGAUUUGAAAGCCCACGGGUCAUCCGGGAAGGAUCAUUGAAAGCUGGAACACUUGAGUGCAGAAGAGGAAAGUGUAAUUCCAUGUGUAGCGGUGACUGCGCAGAGAUAUGGAGGAACACCAGAGGUGAAGGCGACUAUCUGGCUGUAACUGACGCUGAUGUGCGAAAGCGAGCCAUCAUACAGGAUUAGAUACCCUGGUAGUCCACGCCGUACACGAUGAGUGUACUGUUAGGGGUUUCCGCCCUUAGUGCUGCAGUACCGCUUAAG
rnacentral:rRNA from 1 species